GACAAGGGCUUAGAGAAGUGAAGUGACACAGAAGCAGAACCAGGACCAAAACCAAGGUCUUCCAAAUCCAAGUUCACGGGUCUUUCCUCUCUGCCAUUCAGUAAAGUUAAUAUACAGCCAACGGUGUGUACACCCAUGUCAGGAGAACAAAGACAACACCUUCAUUGUCAGAAGGCAUAGUAGAAGACAACAGGACUGACUGGUACAGGAGGAGAUGUCAGGUGACACCUAUGACCUGAAGAUGCUGGUGGCCCCUGGUGAAAAGUUAACCUCAGCAGCCAGCUAUGCAAUCUUGGAGGCCUCGGUCUCCAAGGGUCUGGACUGGAGACAUAUUUAAGUACAAGGAAUGAAAUGCCUUCUUCAAGCAAUAGUUAAUACAGAACCACAAUACACGAAGCAGAAAAAACUCAGACUCGUAACAGCCAAUAAA